UACGUAGGGGGCAAGCGUUGUCCGGAAUCAUUGGGCGUAAAGAGCGUGUAGGCGGCCAGGUAGGUCUGCUGUGAAAACUCGAGGCUCAACCUCGAGACGUCGGCGGAAACCAUCUGGCUAGAGUCCGGAAGAGGAGAGUGGAAUUCCUGGUGUAGCGGUGAAAUGCGCAGAUAUCAGGAAGAACACCCGUGGCGAAGGCGGCUCUCUGGGACGGUACUGACGCUGAGACGCGAAGGCGUGGGGAGCGAACAGG
rnacentral:rRNA from 1 species